rfam:Nitrospirae bacterium HCH-1 contig019, whole genome shotgun sequence.
CGGUUGGGAGGGUUGCCUUUUGCAGUCCGUUGAGACAUAUGUCUGCCUGGCCG